rnacentral:lncRNA from 1 species
GGGAAAGGAAAGAAAGGGGAGGGAAGGGAAGGGCGGCGGGGCACGGAGCUGGGCGCUCGGAGGCUUUGGGGCCGAGCUGCUGGGAAAGGCGGCUUUCGGUUGGCGAGCGGCAGCACGUGCGUCGGUGCCAGCGAGAAAGAAAGUGAGCCAUGAAAGGCCGGCUGUGGCGGAGAGGGACGGCGAGCGGGAGACGGAGCGGCGGCGGAUGGGGCGGCGGCGGCGAGAGGGCCGAUCUCCUUUGUCUGAAGACACAGCUCCCAAGCCAGCAGAAGAAAACACUUCUUUGGCUCAGAGUCCUUGGCUCAUCCACCAGUAAUCGAGGAGAAAGAGAAGCAUCUCGGUCCUCAUGGGCUAGCUUUCUCACAAGGAAAGGACAGGAUCAAAAAUAUACCAGGGAGGUUCAAGAGUUCUCUGUUUUUGUGCAAGGGCACUCUUCUAUUAACUUGUACUUUAUUCAGGAUGGAGCAGGAGGACUGUGUUGCAUGCUGGUAACUGAGAUUUUACGUCUUAUUGUCAUUGCUCUACUGCUGUUGAUUCUUAAGAGAAAUAUGAAAAAGAAGCUGAUAUUCAAGAUAACUUUAUACUACAUCAGCUUUCUUGCAUUCUUAGUUGUUGUCAAGUGAAUCCUCUAAAAAUGAUUAAUUUUUCUGUAAUCUACUCAAUACCAUGCCAUAUGGCUAUUAAUCAAAAUUAAAUGAUGCUUGCAGCGGAAUUCUUUAGUAACAGAAUGUCCUACACUGGAAACAACUGACAUUGGCACACUGUAUAUUCUACCAUAAGUUUACAAAUUCAAAUAAAAAGUAUGGUCUUCAAAUACUGUGUUCUUGUGUUUGUUUUGUUUUGUUUUGUUUUAUUUUAUUUUAUUUUAUUUUAUUUUAU